UCUGUUGUAGUCUAGUUGGUCAGGAUAUUCGGCUCUCACCCGAAAGACUCGGGUUCAAGUCCCGGCAAUGGAA
rnacentral:tRNA from 1 species